CAUACUGUUGUUGGUGGGUUUUGUUUUUGUUGUUUUUUGCUUGUCCCUGUAGCUUCUGAAAUGCUAAAAGUACCAAUUUUUUGCAUAAGCCAAGGGAACACUUAGAAAUGGAUCCAUUUAACACUUGAGAUACUGGAGCUUACCAGAAAUUGAAGUGGAAAAUUUUCAUCAUCCCAUAUUUUGGAAAAGCAACUCAUACCACUGUAUAGAUGGAUAUAUCUUGGGGGCUUUUCUGUUUGUUUGUUUGUUUGUUUUACCAUUCACAUUUGGAGCAACCCAAGAAGCCUAUUUGUAAAAGUUUUCUUGAACUGAAUGGUGGGAAGUAAGUUAAAUACUGCUAUUUCCUGAAUUAGAUCAAUCUAUUCCUUCAUAAGGCAGGGUAGAUGUAAAUUUUCAAUUCCUGAUGUGAAUUAGUUUCUGCAAAUAGCAUCAUAUUUGCAGUAGCCUAUAGAUCUGUGAGGAAGACUCUACUCAUCCUUUUCUUCCCCCAAGCUAGAUAUUCUAAACAUAGUUCUGCAUGAUGCGCACAUAGUUCUUGUUUAUUGCAAGGAGAAAUUCCAAACUUUAUACUGCAAGCUGUUUAAUUGUAAGGCUUGCUGAAAUUUGAUGUUUUGGUUGUUUCCCUUCAAAAUUAGUUGGUGUGGUGUUUUGUGAUGAGUCCUGUAUUGAAACUGACAGCAGUGAUUUAAAGAGAUCCUGUGUAGUUCCAGCAGUUCUAUUGCUGUUUAUUCAUCUAUGCUAUUUUCUGUGAAUUCUUCUGUCAUAAAUGGGAGUGCCAUUGGAUUCCUAAACUAUGGUUAGAAGUUUUAUUCUUUGCAUUUUCCUUCCAGACUAAUUUUUCUUUGACUAGUUAAUGCGUGGAUAUCUCCUUCAUCAAGAUUCCUUCUAAAACAGAAGCACCAGAAGGCUGCCUUAGAUAUAAGGAGAGCUACCUAGCAUAUUUUCUCAGUGCUGUUUUCUUAUCUGUUCAAAGAGUCUUUGCUCUUCAAUGUUCAACAGUAGUGAUGGUCUUGACUCUGAGGUAUUUUUUCAGUGUCAGUUGAAAUGUGAUAACAAUUCUUAUUGUUGCAGUAACUUUAUUGUAAAACAUGAUGAAGAACCUUUAUAACUUGCAGUUGAAGUUGUUUGCUAUUUUUGACAUGUUACUUUUCUGUCAAGAAACCUAUCAGGUAUAGAUUAACUGCUAAUUACCUGCAGUUUUCCAAUUUGGUAGUUGGAAAUGGCAAAAGACUUUCACUUUUGAAAGAAUUUCAAGCUAGCAUUAAGGAAAGACUCAACUGGUAAAAACUCAAAAGUUUUCUUUACAACUUUGAAUCCAUUUAUGGUCCUGUUAGCAACUUGGUUCUCUGUGUUCAAUACUGUAUUUUCCUGGGUGUAAGGACAGACCCAUGAUCUGAGGGCUUGUUUCAAGCCAGGACAUUAGGACUUUAUGGAACCAAGUGGAUGGAGUUCUGCUGUGUACUGGAACAACAGUAUUAGGGCUCAGAUGAUGGCUGUAGUAUUUUGAAUAUGAUGGUAUGUCAGAUCAGGCAUCACUUAGCUGACAUAUCCACUGCUGUCCUUUGUGGUUACCUGGUAAGUGCCAAAUCAGCUUUUAAACUAGUGUGAUUUCCUUCGGUUGCAAAAUUACUUGUAUUUAUUGUUGUUUUUCCCAAUCUGCUUCUAUCCCUCAUUGAGGAAAAUUAUUACUGGUGUCACAUGGAUUUUUCUAUGUUUUUGUUUUUUUUCUUCAGGUUCUUUGUGAAGAGAUUAAAGUUUUGAAUUUGCAGGCACAGCCAGCCUUCUUGAAAUGAAUGGGUGUGACCUGUUAUAUGGAUGCAUGUGUGGGCAACUCUAGAGCUGCUGCACUUAGUUCCAGGUUUAUGUGGAUUAUUGUGACUUCAGGUUGUGCUGUAGAUAAGAUGUUACAUAAGGAAAAUUCUGUGUGGUGAGGGAAACUGCAGACUUGUAAAUUGUCUGUUCUUACACCUUGUCAAUGCAGUACUAGCUACAUAUGUGCACCAAUUUCUGCUUUGUCAAGUUUUUUGGGUCUAGAGGGGCAGAGCCCCAUUUUUCUCCCCUUGUGGUUAUCGUGGUACAGUCCAGCAGUUACCAAUUAAUGCAGUUCUAGGUGGUGUAGGCUUGAGACUUCUGGUUUUAAUUACAAACAGGACUCUGGCACAGGAAAAAAGCUAUGUAUGAUCUCAGAAGAGGUGUCUGGUAGGCAUGGCUGAUGUUUCCUCAUCUUGGAAUAGAAGCAGAGCUAGCUUAACCUGUGGUGAAUUUGCCACACGUUUUCCACAUGCUCUCCAGGAGUUAAUUUCAUCACUGGUGGUAUUUUGAAGCUUCAAUUUCACAUCUGUUUUUUUCCAAAAUGGUGCAGAUGAGUGACUGUAGUUUUAAGAACUAAUUUUUAUGUAAUGUCCAUGUAUCCGUGGCAACACUGACUAGCUGUGUUUGCAUUUGUCUCAAUAAAAGACAAAUGUCAGUGGCACCUUUGUUUUAGACAAAGAGUACAGGCAGUUCUUAACUGAUGAAUAAGUAGAAUUACAGAAUUAUUUAGGGUGGAAAACACCUCAAAGAUCAGUGAGUCUGACUGUUAAUCUAGCACUGCCAUGUUCACCAUUAAACCAUGUUCCUAAGAGCUGCAUCUGCAUGUUUUGUGAACACUUCCAGGGACAGUGAUUCCAGCACUUCCCUAGGCAGCAGGAAGUAUUUACACAUAACAGUUGAGAGGAAAAACAAGAUAAAAUAGCCACAGAUGUGUUAAAGCACCUCUUUCAGAACUUCAUGUUGGGUGAUGAUACUGAAGAUGGAGAAUGCUAUUUUUCAGAUGGCAAAGUAAUGAGAGGUAACUGGCAUAAGUUGCAUUAAGAGAAAUUGCAGACAGAUGAAGGAGAAAAUCCUUUAAAAUGAAGAUGGAGAAAUGUGGUACUGGGACUCGGAGUGGCUAUAGAAUCUCCACCCUCAGAGGUGAUCAGAGCUGGACUAGGCAAUGUCCUAAGCAACCUGAUUGGUAAAAAUUAUUGUCUUUGGAUAUAUUUUGAAGAGACCUCUGCAAGACUUGUUUCCUAGAGAAGAUCUUGUAAUACAGCUGAGAACAAGCUUUUUCCAUUUCCUGAUCUCCAUCUGAUGCUCAAAUUUUAAUUUGCUUGAUGUUUUGCUAAUGCAAAUGCGUUUUGCUAAAACAAGUGUCUUUCUAAUUUUAUCAGAGGUUUUGUAUGGAAUUUACUUGUAAAAAUUAAUGCCUUAAAAUUUUUUAUUUGCUCCCAUGUAGCAGGGAAGGGAAUAAUAAAAUAGUUUUAGUAGUUAA